GCCAUGACCGUGGAGUUCGAGGAGUGCGUCAAGGACUCCCCGCGCUUCAGACGUGUGCACAAGUGUGCAUCGGCUUUGCUUGGUGGACAUUUGGCAAACGACAAUGGAGGCAAAGAAACCUCUCUGCAUCCCCAAGGCGACCAUUGACGAGGUGGAGACGGACGUGGUGGAGAUUGAGGCCAAACUGGACAAGCUGGUGAAGCUGUGCAGUGGCAUGGUGGAAGCCGGUAAGGCCUACGUCAGCACCAGCAGGCUGUUCGUGAGC
rnacentral:sRNA from 1 species